CAACAGUAUCCCCUCCCUUAUAAGACAACAGCUUCCACCCACAAUGCUGGUACACAAUGGCCCAACAAAGGACAAGGAGAUGACCCUCCUGCCAUGAUGUCCUACAGACUCCUCAGAGAUCCAAGAACAAGAUCACAUAUUUUCUUCUAGCCUGAAGUUCAAGGAGUGACUCAACCUAUAGACUCUUGGCUAAGUAAAAGUAGAGAUGGUAGAAAGUA